rnacentral:rRNA from 1 species
GCUGGCGGCAGGCCUAACACAUGCAAGUCGAACGCCCCUUCGGGGGAGUGGCAGACGGGUGAGUAACACGUGGGAACCUACCCAGGAGUACGGAAUAACUCAGGGAAACUUGAGCUAAUACCGUAUACGUCCUUCGGGAGAAAGUUUUAACGCUCUUGGAUGGGCCCGCGUCGCAUUAGCUAGUUGGUGGGGUAAUGGCCUACCAAGGCUUCGAUGCGUAGCUGGUCUGAGAGGAUGAUCAGCCACACUGGGACUGAGACACGGCCCAGACUCCUACGGGAGGCAGCAGUGGGGAAUCUUGGACAAUGGGCGCAAGCCUGAUCCAGCCAUGCCGCGUGAGUGAUGAAGGCCCUAGGGUUGUAAAGCUCUUUCACCGGUGAAGAUAAUGACGGUAGCCGGAGAAGAAGCCCCGGCUAACUCCGUGCCAGCAGCCGCGGUAAUACGGAGGGGGCUAGCGUUGUUCGGAAUUACUGGGCGUAAAGCGCACGUAGGCGGGUAUCCAAGUUGGGGGUGAAAUCCCGGGGCUCAACCCGGAACUGCCUCCAAACUGGGUACCUAGAGUCCGAGAGAGGUGAGUGGAAUUCCAGUGUAGAGGUGAAAUUCGUAGAUAUUGGGAAGAACACCCUUGCAAGGCGCU